CAAUAGCGUAUAUUAACGUUGUUGCAGUUAAAAAGCUCGUAGUUGGAUCUCUGGAGGGAGCGUCGGCCCGUAUUUACGAGUGCGUGACGUCUCUGUCCAUCCUUGCGGGAAGGCACGGCAUUGAUUUGUUGUGUCGGAUCGCAUCAUUUACUGUGAAAAAAUUAGAGUGUUCAAAGCAGGCUUUCGCUUGAAUACAUUAGCAUGGAAUAAUAAGAUAGGACUUUGGUGCUAUUUUGUUGGUUGAGCCUAAAGUAAUGAUUAAUAGGGAUAGUUGGGGGCACCUGUAUUGCGUUGUCAGAGGUGAAAUUCUUGGAUUUACGCAAGACAAACAGCUGCGAAAGCGUCUGCCAAGGAUGUUUUCAUUGA
rnacentral:rRNA from 1 species